UGAGGCGGCGCUGCCCGCUCUCGUUUGACCACGUUGCUCGACUUCAUCCGAAGAGGACAGCGUUUCCCAGCGGGUGUGGGGAGAGGAGGAGACGGAGAGGUUGAGUCAUUAGCUGAUGACAUCAGGGGGACUCAGUGAGUGACACGCAGGAAACUGCACUGAGGGAAGUCGUCCUUGUUGCCCGUCUCCUGUUCCUCCAUCUCCUCCGGCCUCAGCACCACUAAUUUGCUCCGAGUGCAGGUCAGCUUGCUGUCAGAAGGAAUUCGGGUGUCACCCUCCUUGAACCUCAGGAAUGAUCUCCAACUGCAAUUACAGGAUUCGGCCCCAUGGGCACAAAUCCAGCAUACGGAAAAAGGGACGUCUUAAAGUUUCCGUCUAUGCAGCUCUGAGGGCUGUUUAGCGGAACGCUGCGCUGUAAUCGUCUCCUACGCAGCAGGGUUGUGACAAACAGCUGACAAGCAGGCUGCCACAACAGCCAACUACCCCAGAGGACAAAGACAGCAGUGAGGCAAGGGACACGGGACGCGGCAAUAUGAUGUCAUAUUCGCUCUGACUCAGAGCAAGAGACUUCAAACCCUCCCUUCAAGUCCCAGAUUAGCGUGUGUUAGCAGGCUGUGUUUGAACUGUUUAGCUUUGAUUCAGAGCUUUGAUGGAACGGUCUGGUCUUAUUGCUGAAAUUAAAGUAAAGCCUUUAAAAAAAUGAAAAUGUGCAUGUGUAUUGGCAAGAAUGUUUUUGUGUUAAUUGAAGUAAAUGUAAAACAUCUGCAGCAAGGGAUCCCAAGUGGUGCAGCGGUCCAAGACGCAGCACCAAGAAAACCACCACAAUUUAGGUUUGAGCCUUAACUGUGCCACUAGAUAAGUGCCUGGCUGCAUAGGAUCAAGACUUUGAUUGAAGUUGUUACAUAGACAGUCUGUAGAUAUGACUGGCCAUAAUGAAAUUGGGAGAGCGAGAGAGAAUUGUUGCAUCUCUUUUGGACAAUGCAAAUUUUAUCGCAAAGGGAGACAAGGUUAACUUUAAGGUUCAGGAUAAGAUUACAUUUUGAAAAAACGAGUUAAAAAAGGCUUGUAGAA